rnacentral:rRNA from 1 species
UAGGGAAUCUUCCACAAUGGACGCAAGUCUGAUGGAGCAACGCCGCGUGAGUGAAGAAGGUUUUCGGAUCGUAAAGCUCUGUUGUUGGUGAAGAAGGAUAGAGGCAGUAACUGGUCUUUAUUUGACGGUAAUCAACCAGAAAGUCACGGCUAACUACGUGCCAGCAGCCGCGGUAAUACGUAGGUGGCAAGCGUUGUCCGGAUUUAUUGGGCGUAAAGCGAGCGCAGGCGGAAUGAUAAGUCUGAUGUGAAAGCCCACGGCUCAACCGUGGAACUGCAUCGGAAACUGUCAUUCUUGAGUGCAGAAGAGGAGAGUGGAACUCCAUGUGUAGCGGCGGAAUGCGUAGAUAUAUGGAAGAACACCAGUGGCGAAGGCGGCUCUCUGGUCUGCAACUGACGCUGAGGCUCGAAAGCAUGGGUAGCGAACAGGAUUAGAUACCCUGGUAGUCCAUGCCGUAAACGAUGAGCGCUAGGUGUUGGGGACUUUCCGGUCCUCAGUGCCGCAGCAAACGCAUUAAGCGCUCCGCCUGGGGAGUACGACCGCAAGGUUGAAAC